rnacentral:rRNA from 1 species
CCUACGGUGGCAGCAGUCGAGAAUCAUUCACAAUGGGGGAAACCCUGAUGGUGCGACGCCGCGUGGGGGAAUGAAGGUCUUCGGAUUGUAAACCCCUGUCAUGUGGGAGCAAAUUAAAAAGUUAUUAUCACCAGUGGAUGAGCCGGCUAACCCUGUGCCAGCCGCCGCGGUAAUACAGAGGUCUCAGGCGUUGUUCGGAAUCACUGGGCGUAAAGCGUGCGUAGGCUGUAUCGUAAGUCGGGUGUGAAAGGCGCGGGCUCAACCCGCGGACGGCACAUGAUACUGGGAGACUAGAGUAAGGGAGGGGGAACCGGAAUUCUCGGUGUAGGAGUGAAAUGCGUAGAUAUCGAGAGGAACACUCGUGGCGAAGGCGGGUUCCUGGACAUUAACUGACGCUGAGGCACGAAGGCCAGGGGAGCGAAAGGGAUUAGAUACCCGUGUAGUC